UUCCGCUUCUCUGACUCACAGCUACUUAGGCAGUUACCAUCACUUACAUAAAGAUCAAAAGGACAUACAAAUUUCUACUCUGGCAGGGUAGGCAAUCAGUAUGGUGGGUCUGUCUGCCUUGCAUUGUCUGAAACAACCCACAGAUGGGUGAGGAGAAGAAGAGGCUCCUUUUCUCCUUCCACCUCCACUGGCCCGCCUGCCAAGUGUUCCUACAAAC